UACAGAGGUCUCAAGCGUUGUUCGGAUUCAUUGGGCGUAAAGGGUGCGUAGGUGGCGUGGUAAGUCGGAUGUGAAAUCCCGGGGCUCAACCCCGGAACUGCAUUCGAUACUGCCAUGCUAGAGUACUGGAGAGGAGAUUGGAAUUUACGGUGUAGCAGUGAAAUGCGUAGAUAUCGUAAGGAAGACCAGUGGCGAAGGCGGAUCUCUGGACAGUUACUGACACUGAGGCACGAAGGCUAGGGGAGCAAACGGG
rnacentral:rRNA from 1 species